AUACGGAGGGUGCAAGCGUUAUCCGGAUUUAUUGGGUUUGAAGGGUCCGUAGGCGGAUCUGUAAGUCAGUGGUGAAAUCUCAUAGCUUAACUAUGAAACUGCCAUUGAUACUGCAGGUCUUGAGUAAGGUAGAAGUAGCUGGAAUAAGUAGUGUAGCGGUGAAAUGCAUAGAUAUUACUUAGAACACCAAUUGCGAAGGCAGGUUACUAUGUCUUAACUGACGCUGAUGGACGAAAGCGUGGGGAGCGAACAGGAUUAGAAACCCCGGUAGUCC
rnacentral:rRNA from 1 species